AUGAAGCACCAGAUGACAGAUUCAAAGCAAAGGGAAAUAGCUUUCCGCCUCCUUGGUCCGAAAUUUGUUAAAAGAGACUUUGGUGAUUGUCCUAUCCAGCCUGAACCACUGUCCUCCACGGAUGUGAGCGAGAGCUGCAGAGAGAAACUUUUGGAAUCUACAAGAAUCCGGCUACAGAACCAGUGCUUUAAAGCUGCUGAAAAUCUGCGUUUUCAGUUCCAUUUUGAUACGGAUACUGCUGAAUUAGUCCCUGAGAUGGUUCAUUUCCUUGACGACACUUAUAACAUCGUGACAGCAGAGCUAGAGUUGUUACUGGCCAACUGUGAAGCCCGGCAGAAGGUACUCGAUUACGUUUCCCAUUUUGCUAGUGAGGUUGUCAUUUGAUAUUUCUUCCAAAUUCAUCAUUAGGUCAAGC
rnacentral:lncRNA from 1 species